rnacentral:lncRNA from 1 species
GCAUUUUGCCAUAGUCCCUAAUUUCCAUUCCCGAGUCCUCUCCUCUCGAGUCUCGACUCUCAGUUUCGCUCUCACCUCUCUCCGACUCUAUCUCAGUAUCUCACAUCACAUCCUCUCCGCCUCUCUCCGUCUUAGUCUCCGCCUCUCAGCCUCUCAUGGCCUUACCCUUCAUUCGGCCUUAGCAAAUCGCAGCCUCCGCGUCUCGGUGGGUAUUCGACAGUUCUCUUGUAAACUAUUUGGUACUAAAAGUUUUAACCUCUGUUUUUUUGUCUCUAGCUUCGAUUUAGUACUAAUAUAUUUAUGUUGAUUUUGAUUAAAUGUUUAAUUGUUAGACUAAGAUUAGUUUUUUCAAGUUUUCUAUUGUUUGUGGACAUAUGAAGUUAAAAGCCUAAUAUAUUUGUUUUUCCUUCCUGAAAAUCAAUUUGGAUGGUGGUAACAUGAUAACAUCUAUCACCUGAAACUAUAACCUUGAUUCCUUGAAUUGAGACUUUCCUUUGUCAAUAUGUGAAUUUGUUUAUCAAGAUGACCCAAGUACCCAACUGUUCUGCUAUGGGAUAUUUUAACAAUUAGCCUUAUAUAAGUGCUUACUUGUGUGAUAUUCUAGCUUUUGAUGUUAAGAUUUCAGUAAAUCAAUUUGGGGUUUUUGGUUCUAUUUCCAUAGAUGUUCAGAAAAGUCUUAGCUUCCCCCUAAUGCGGAAUUAAAGAGACAAAUUUGGAACUACACUUGCAAGAAUUUGUACAAUUUAAUACACAGAAGAAUCUUAGAAAUGAUCUUAGAUUGUGAUGAAUUGCAACAUAGGAUCUUAUUAUAACUGGCCUCAGAUUCUUUAUGGCUUUGUACAUUACUUUGAGCCAAGUUUUUUUAUAACUUUUGGCUUUGUGAACUUAUUGGGAUAUCUAAGAUGAUACAUACACUGACUCAAUGGAUAAAUGAUUUAUUUAUGCAGUUACGGGGAUUUCUCUUGCUUGCUUGUGUUGCAUGUAGUUGUUGCUCGUUGUUGUUGCUGUUCAUGUUGUUGUUACAAUGAUCUUUAAUUUUGCUUGUUCAUGUUACUGUUGCACUGCUGGCUGCUUGCUGCUAGCUGCUGAAAAGCCUGCAAUUUGUUGCUCAUGUUCAUGUUGCUGCUAGUUGUUGUUGCAUGUUGGAUGUUGCUAGAUUAUAAUUAGACUUUGUUAAGUCAUAAAUUUUGUGAAGGACAGUUAAUUUGCUGCUGCACUGCUGUUGUAUUGUUAAUUUUAAACAAUUAAACUUUGUGAAGGACAGUUAAGGUUAUGAAUUGUCUACUGUCUAGUAUUGCCAAUUUUAAAAGGUUCUUAUUUUGAUUGAUAAAUGAUAACAUGGAGCACAGGUUUGAUUAUUACUCGAAUAUCCGAAUGUACAAUUCAGUAUUCGGUAAUUCGGUUAGUGACAAAUUUCGAUUAGUGUUUCGGAUAAUACAAUUAUGAAUAAUUCGGUAUUCGGUUAGAACUGAAUAGUUUAUUCGGUUCGGUUAUAACCGAAUGAUUACUCUUAUGUUUGACAGUAAUCAACUUAUAAGUCAUUUGCCACUAUUCCUCUGUUUGGCAAUGACUUAUUUUACUACUUAUAAGUUCAUUUAUAAGUCAAAAAAAAUAAACAAAUAUUUGUAACUUAUUUUAAAAUGACUUAUAAGUCAUUUUAAAAUAAGUUAGUUUGACCAAAUGUAAUGUCUAUUUUGUCUCUCUUUUUAUUAAUGUAAAAGUAAUCUUUACAUUUGAUUUUAAGUUAUAAGUCAUUAUGAGCCGAACACUUUCAUAACUUAUUUUAACUUAAUUUCUGACUUAUAAGUCAAAUUAAUGCGCAUUUAUUUAUAAGUCCUAACUUAAAAUAAUAUAUAAGUCAACUUAUAUUUUAGUUUAAGUCGUUGCCGAACGAGCUCUUAGACGAAGAAAGCAUACCCAAAUUCUCUUCCAAUCCCACCUAAUUCCUUCCCAUUCACAAAAUGAAGAGAAUCCCAGUUUCUUUUCCCUCCACAAACCCACCAUUUUCCUUUUCCUUUCUUUUUUUCCUAUUUAUCUAUCUAUUGAUACUUUGGAUUUUGCCUAUGGCUCCCAAGCCUUCACCAAAAAUAUCAUGCACUACCUUCAAAAUCAUAACCAACAAAAUAUCUCUCUCACUAACCCCAUUGUUGGUCUAGACCCCAAGAAACAACGCAACCACUGGACUCAUCGGAGAAUAUGGGACAACAUGCAUAGUAACUCUAGCAUUUUUAUAAUUUGUACAAGAAAUACUCCCACUAACACAUAAUAAAAGUUAAAGUUGACCCUACCUCCAUCCACGAUAUCAUUCUGAUGCACAGUGUAAAUAUCUUAAUCUUAAAUUUAAUUAAGACCAAAUCUUCUGUUCAAAAUGUAUAAACAAAAAAAGAAAUAUUGUCUCUUUAUUUUAUAAGAAAGUAAAUCUUUUGGUUUUAAAUGUGAGAUGACUCUUUAGGUCGCGUCUCAAGAUCCUCCUAAUAACAUUAUCGGCUGAUAUCGAGUGCUGGAGUUGUCGAGGAUACCAACUUAUACUCUACCUUAUAAUAUUUUAGUAUAUUUCUCGUUUAUGAAUAAAGUGAAAUAUAAUAUUAUUCAUGUUAUAUUUAUUUUUGAAGGCUUUAGUCAACGUUUGCGUUCGAGAGCACCCGUGGUAUGGUGGGGGUGCUGGCUUAGACGACGUUAUGUUCCAGAGGGUUAUGGCGGCGGUGUCAGAACAUAUUUGGUACAGAUCCGUUAUUCCGUCAUCAGGACCUUCCCAACUGUGUUUACCUCCAUUAGCUUGCUCAAGACAUUGCAGCUAGUGCCACUGCCGAGAGUACGGGUAUCUUUCCGGAGCAGUUCACCGCAAUACACGACGAGGUGGUUCGGAUGGUGAUUACCUUACUCAUGAACGCUUUUGGGCCGAUGCUGAGUUAGCCCUUAACUACUCAGGUAUACUAUUCGUUUUAAAUUCAAGUAUUCUGCAUGUUAUUUAAUUUUCAUUUAGUUGUAUGUUUAAUUGUGUCAUAUGGACUAAUGAGUUACAUUAUAUUGUAUCAACAGGGUGACGCUCCCGAGCGGGCUGGCGAUGCCCCUCAGGUUGCUCACUCCGAUCACGACGUCAACAAUUUUCAUACGCAGCGUCGACGCCCGCUCGAUGAUCCUCCUCACACCGGGGGUAGUAAUACUGGCAUGACUUAGUUUUGUAGAUGAUUAUUACAUAUUUUAUUCAUCUUUACUUUAGUUUAGCUUAAUUGGAAGCUUUAAUUUUUGUAGUUUAGUUGAUAUUUGAUAUAUUGUAGUUUAAACCUUGUAAUUACAUGUCAUUUUUGUAUAUCUUAUGAAAAAUUAGAGUAUUUUCAUUAUUGUUGGAGGUGUAAUUCAUAUUGGACUUAUAUGUGAACAAAAGCCAGUUAUUAUUAUAUAUAUAUGUUUUUGGAA